rnacentral:lncRNA from 1 species
ACGAUCUGUACUUUAUAGAAAAAUUAAAUGUGACAAAGAGAUAGAAUUAAAAACUCAGGUUCCCAAGGAAAAUGUUGGAGCUCUGGAAGCGACCCCAGCGGUGGGCACCGGGAGCCGCGGACAAGGUCACCCUGGCUGGCGUCAGCCAGUGGCUGAGAGAGGAAGUGAAGAAGAUCCACCUGCCACGGUGGGCUUUCCACAGGGCCUCAGUUAGAGGGGGGUGGACCCGCAGAGGGACCUACACCUGGGCCACAAGGAGCCUUUCCCUUGGCCGGAGGUCCCUCCUUUGUGACUCACUCAGAGCAAGACAAAGCCUGGUCUGCAGGAGCCCACAUAGGGCGCAGGAGCAUGGCUUUCCUGGAACCACUCUGAGCCAGGAGGUGUCUGUGUCCUGAGCCCACCCUGUUUUGCUCUUACCUUAGACCCUCUGAGAAGGGUCAUGGUGUGAGCAGGUUCCCUGCGGGUUUCAGGAAGGUGCCAGAGGCGGGGCCUGGAGGAUGCAGGCAUGAGGGAAGGGGCAAGGCCGAGCGAGGAAGCUCUGGCUGACUGGUGGGAGUUGCCCAGGAGGAUCUUACAGCUGAAUUGAUCCCAAAUACUUAUUUUAAAAGAUGCUCCAUGGGUGACAUCAUCAUGAGACCAAGCAGUCUUCACCUUCCAGCCGCCAGAAACUUCUCAGACUGCCAUGAGGUCUUGGAGACCUCCUUUCCUAAUUCUUCUCUUGACUCUCAUCCCAUGAUUCGGAUGUUAUGGAAACUAACAUCUUUGCAUUAUCUUAGCAUCCAAAAUUUCACCUGUGAGAGUUAACUUGUGAUUUUAAUAAAAAUAAAGUUAAUGUCCGUUCAGCAUCAUCUGUCUCUUGCAUCCUCAUAGUUCAAAUUCUCCAGCUUCCACAAGACCAAGAUCAAAAACACGGCAUUACUCAGGAGCAUGGAAGCAAGGCUGGCGUGAGCAGCAUGUGCAAUGAUUUGCAUGAGAUGAUGCAGAAAUAUUUCCUGCCAUCAGGAAUG